rnacentral:tRNA from 1 species
UCCCCUGUCAUUUAACCGGCAGGAUGCCUCGCUGUUAACGAGGUCGUGCAGGUUCGAUCCCUGCUGGGGGAG